GAUCGGGAGACGGAAAGAUGGCAGCCGCAGGUAAAAAGGGCGACUAAAUAAAUACGAAAAUGCAUUGAAAAGGGAAAAGUAAAACCAACGUGAAGGCAAAGAUAGAUCCACAACUUCACUUCACUCAUAGUGGACAUUUCAUUACUAUCUGUUAUUUAUUUGAGAAACCAACUACAACUACCAACUACGAGUGAGCCAUCACUCAUCACGUGGCCUUGGUCGAUGAUACAUAAUGCGGACAUAAUCCAAUCUUAUCAAAAUGCUAAUGUCUCCCCCUUGUUCAGCUUCGAUCCCUUCUUGGCGGCCAAGCCCUUUCAUGUUUGCGCGCUCUCCAUCAGACAUUCCCCUCUCUUUCUCUCUCUCUCUGUCUCUCUGCGCUGUCUGUUUCGUGAAGUUAUCCCCUCCCCCCCCCCCUGAAAAGAUAAGCGUGGGAAAACCUCUCUCUCGCUCUCUUCUCUGUCACAUUCACUUGAGGUCAUUCACUCGGCCCAUAAAUGGCUUUGUUUUUGUUUACAUUAGCUCAGAGGCGGCUUCAUAAGUCAUGAAUGAACUGACUAGUAUCUCUUCAGACUUUCUAUCAAUUGCUUUGGUGUCUCGAAGUCGACGGGUGUAUAUGUCAUUUUGAGACAGAGAAUUUAUUUUACUCCAAUAUAAAGUAAAAGACGAAGAAAUUUGAGUACUGCAAUUUUUGUGAAAAUAAGAAAAUGCAAUAUUGUUUUUAAUAUAAGGAAAAUAAUUACAGCUUUAAAUACAUGACUUGGUCUAGCUCGAUAAAAAUCCAAACAACUAUGAUCAUAUACAUUUUUUUUUCUUCGUAACAUUGGAUAACAAAUUUCACAAAUUCCAACAUACUAUAAAUAUUGAUUAUUUAGUGCAAGGGUAAAUAUGACAAUGACUCGGAACAUAAUACAGGGAUAACAAUUAAUCAAAUUACUCUUAAUACUUGUAAACGUUUUUUUUAAUUAUUUUUUAUAAUUUUUUUUUCUUCAGGGGGGCGGGGUCAAAUUUUCCUCGUGUCGCGCCACGCCUUUUUAAUUUCUUGGCGAGAGGCCUGAUUAUGCAUAGAAUAAAAAAAAUCAACAAAAGGGAAAAGUAAAACAGGGGGGCAAAGUUACAUAUCUACAUCUUCACUUGUAAGGUAGACUACAUGCAUGCAAUGUAAAUCCUUAUUUUUAUUUCUAUAUUUAUUUUGUAAAAACACUGAAUUUUCUGCUGUGACUUUAGAUAAAACUCAGACUUCACAGAGCUGCCAAGCAGAACGUUUUUAACGUAUUUAUACGUGUUUUUUUAAGGGAAAAUACGUAUUUGUUUUGCUGUGCUAAAAUUGUAAGUUCUGAGUAUGGCUAUGCGAACGUGGCUACAGGUUGGCUGUGAGAACGAGCGUAUGCAUAGUAUGCAUACACACAACACAGGGGAUGUACACCACUCAAAGACGUGCGCAUUACCCCAGGCCAUGCAUACACACAUGCAUCCGAUCGUGAUAUCAAACCAGCAUCCACAACACACGCAAAUUACAUAUCAGUGCACUGCACUACACACAGCGUCACUCACUAGUACAAGGAAAUCCCGA
rnacentral:lncRNA from 1 species